UUGGGACGGCUCCAUCUGCCCUUAAUGUACCUGAAGGCCCUCCAAUAAAUAUAACCACUUUUUAUUCCCUUAAUUUUGUCUGUCCUCUGUUUUUAGGUAGCCCAAACAGGCAUCAACAGCUAUGUGGCGAGAGAGAUUAAGUACAAGUGGGGGGAAAGGAAAAAGAAAGAAAAAAUUAACAUCCGUGAAUGGCUGCUCUGUUGUGUGGGCCACAACAAGGCCUCGGCAUCUCCCGAUGGCGCCGGAGCACGGCACCCGCUGCAGCCCAGGGAACACGGCUCAGUCACGUCGGGAACAGCAGCUGUGGGAGCAGGGAACUGAGGCAGCAGAAAGCUCCUUUCCCUCAGAAUCCUGAGCACUGUGAGAGGCAGAUUCUAAAAGUCACAGCUGGAAGCAUCUGUCCUCCUUUCUCUACACAAAGUGAAUUCUGAAGCCAGAAUGAAGGCCAGCUGAAGGAGCGAUAUCAAAUUGAUGCCACCCACAUUUUGCAGCCCUCACCUGUGUCUGCAAAAUAAACCACAGAAUCAGAGAAUCAUCAAGAUUAGAAGAGACACAAUUAUCCCACCAUCAUCCCAGCACCACCAUGGUCACUCUUAAAACAUGUCCCCAAGUGCCACUUGGGAAAGACCCUAGAAAUGACCUUGAUCAUCAACAAGAGGAUAAACUUUAAAGACUGCCUGGCUUCAGUCAUCCACUAGUCUAAAAGAUUAAUCUGAAAUGUUUGAGAAUGGUUUGAAAUAAAACUCCUGGGAUCAAAGAGGAAUUAUAAGAAGAAAUUCAACUACUUAAAAAGCUGCCACAAGUCCAGCAAUAAAAUCCCGCCCUCAGAAACACCAGUGCUUUUAUUCAUUCUAUCUAUACAUCUAAAUCCAGGUAACUAAAGGAGCAUCCUAGAAGAAAGAGAUCUCAAUUGUUUUUAAAAGGAAAAAGAAUAAACAAAAGAAUGGAAACUGGCAAUAA